rnacentral:rRNA from 1 species
GACGAACGCUGGCGGCGUGCCUAAUACAUGCAAGUCGAACGCAGUGGGGACGGGUGAGUAACACGUGGGUAACCUCCCAUCAGAGGGGAUAACACUUUGAAACCGGUGCUAAACCUAUAUUGCUGGAUGGACCCGCGGUGCAUUAGCUAGUGGGUGAGGUAACGGGUCACAAAGGCCACGAUGCAUAGCCGACCUGAGAGCGUGAUCGGCCACACGUGGACUGCGCCACGGCCCAGUCUCAUACGGUAGGCAGCAUUAGGGAAUCUUCGGCAAUGGACGAAAGUCUGACCGAGCAACGCCGCGUGAGUGAAGAAGGUUUUCGGAUCGUAAAACUCUGUUGUUAGAGAAGCGGUAUCUAACCAGAAAGCCACGGCUAACUCCGUGCCAGCAGCCGCGGUAAUUC